rnacentral:rRNA from 1 species
GAUGAACGCUGGCGGCGUGCCUAACACAUGCAAGUCGAGCGAAAGGACGAGAAGCUUGCGCCUCUGCUGUUAGCGACGGGCGGGUGAGUAACGCGUAGAUAGCCUUCUACUUAGACGUGGAUAACUUCGGGAAACCGGAGAUAAUACUAGAUAAUACUUUGAACCGGAUGGUUCAGGAGAGAAUGACGGUUUGGCUGUCUCUUAUAGACGGAUCCGCGUUGCAUUAGCUAGUUGGUAAGGUAACGGCUUACCAAGGAGACGAUGCAUAGCCGACCUGAGAGGGUGAUCCGCCACACUGGAACUGAGACACGGUCCAGACUCCUACGGGAGGCAGCAGUAGGGAAUCUUGCGCAAUGGGCGAAAGCCUGACCGAGCAACGCCGCGUGAGUGAAGAAGGUCUUCGGAUCGUAAAACUCUGUUAUUGGGGAAGAACAUAUGUGUAAGUAACUGUGCAUAUCUUGACGGUACCUAAUCAAAAAGCCCCGGCUAACUACGUG